AUUGAACGCUGGCGGCAGGCUUAACACAUGCAAGUCGAGCGGGGUGAUGGUGCUUGCACUAUCACUUAGCGGCGGACGGGUGAGUAAUGCUUAGGAAUCUGCCUAUUAGUGGGGGACAACAUCUCGAAAGGGAUGCUAAUACCGCAUACGUCCUACGGGAGAAAGCAGGGGAUCACUUGUGACCUUGCGCUAAUAGAUGAGCCUAAGUCGGAUUAGCUAGUUGGUGGGGUAAAGGCCUACCAAGGCGACGAUCUGUAGCGGGUUUGAGAGGAUGAUCCGCCACACUGGGACUGAGACACAGCCCAGACCCCUACGGGAGGCAGCAGUGGGGAAUAUUGGACAAUGGGGGGAACCCUGAUCCAGCCAUGCCGCGUGUGGGAAGAAGGCCUUAUGGUUGUAAAGCACUUUAAGCGAGGAGGAGGCUCUUUUGGUUAAUACCCAAGAUGAGUGGACGUUACUCGCAGAAUAAGCACCGGCUAACUCUGUGCCAGCCGCCGCCGUAA
rnacentral:rRNA from 1 species